rnacentral:rRNA from 1 species
GACAGAGGGGGCAAGCGUUGCUCGGAAUCACUGGGCGUAAAGGGCGCGUAGGCGGGAUGUCAAGUCAGUCGUGAAAUCCCUCGGCUUAACCGGGGAACUGCGUCUGAUACUGGAUGGCUUGAGUUCGGGAGAGGGAUGCGGAAUUCCAGGUGUAGCGGUGAAAUGCGUAGAUAUCUGGAGGAACACCGGUGGCGAAGGCGGCAUCCUGGACCGACACUGACGCUGAGGAGCGAAAGCCAGGGGAGCAAACGGG